rnacentral:misc_RNA from 1 species
GAUGAAGAACGUAGCGAAAUGCGAUAAGUAAUGUGAAUUGCAGAAUUCAGUGAAUCAUCGAGUCUUUGAACGCACAUUGCGCCCCCUGGUAUUCCGGGGGGCAUGCCUGUCCGAGCGUCAUUGCUGCCCUCAAGCACGGCUUGUGUGUUGGGCCUCCGUCCUCCUCCCGGGGGACGGGCCCGAAAGGCAGCGGCGGCACCGCGUCCGGUCCUCGAGCGUAUGGAGCUUCGUCACCCGCUCUUGUAGGCCCGGCCGGCGCUUGCCGACACAUCAAUCUUUUUUCCAGGUUGACCUCGGAUCAGGUAGGGAUACCCGCUGAACUUAAGCAUAUCAAUAAGCGGAGGA